rnacentral:rRNA from 1 species
UACGGGGGGGGGCAAGCGUUGUUCGGAAUUACUGGGCGUAAAGGGCUCGUAGGUGGCCAACUAAGUCAGACGUGAAAUCCCCAGGCUCAACUUGGGAACUGCGUCUGAUACUGGAUGGCUUGAAUUCGGGAGAGGGAUGCAGAAUUCCAGGUGUAGCGGUGAAAUGCGUAGAUAUCUGGAGGAACACCGAUGGCGAAGGCAGGUCUCUGGGCCGAUACUGACGCUGAGGAGCGAAAGCGUGGGGAGCAAACAGG